rnacentral:rRNA from 1 species
AGCCUACGGGAGGCAGCAGUGAGGAAUAUUGGUCAAUGGGCUUACGCCUGAACCAGCCAAGUCGCGUGAGGGACGACGGUCCUAUGGAUUGUAAACCUCUUUUGUCGGGGAACAAAGGCGCCCACGGGUGGGCGGAUAAGUGUACCCGAAGAAAAAGCAUCGGCUAACUCCGUGCCAGCAGCCGCGGUAAUACGGAGGAUGCGAGCGUUAUCCGGAUUUAUUGGGUUUAAAGGGCGCGUAGGCGGACGGUCAAGUCAGCGGUAAAAAUGCGGUGCUCAACGCCGUACAGCCGUUGAAACUGGCAG